rnacentral:rRNA from 1 species
CUGGCUCAGGAUGAACGCUAGCGACAGGCUUAACACAUGCAAGUCGAGGGGCAGCACGGGAGUAGCAAUACAACGUGGUGGCGACCGGCGCACGGGUGAGUAACGCGUAUGCAACCUACCUAUCAGAGGGGAAUAACCCGGCGAAAGUCGGACUAAUACCGCAUAAAACAGGGGCACCGCAUGGUGAUAUUUGUUAAAGAGAUUCGCUGAUAGAUGGGCAUGCGUUCCAUUAGGUAGUUGGUGAGGUAACGGCUCACCAAGCCGACGAUGGAUAGGGGAACUGAGAGGUUGGUCCCCCACACUGGUACUGAGACACGGACCAGACUCCUACGGGAGGCAGCAGUGAGGAAUAUUGGUCAAUGGGCGGGAGCCUGAACCAGCCAAGUCGCGUGAAGGAAGAAGGAUCUAUGGUUCGUAAACUUCUUUUGCAGGGGAAUAAAGUGCAGGACGUGUCCUGUUUUGUAUGUACCCUGAGAAUAAGGAUCGGCUAACUCCGUGCCAGCCGCGGC